rnacentral:pre_miRNA from 15 species
UUGAAAUGUGAUUAAGGAUUUCAAUUUAUGGGAUACACUAAGUUCAGUUUUGUCAGAUGUCCAAGCAUCACUGGGCUUUGUUUAUCUCAUAAGAGCGAAAUUUGUUCAACUUACGGGAC